AUGAACGCUGGCGGCGUGCCUAAUACAUGCAAGUCGAGCGAACAGACGAGGAGCUUGCUCCUCUGACGUUAGCGGCGGACGGGUGAGUAACACGUGGAUAACCUACCUAUAAGACUGGGAUAACUUCGGGAAACCGGAGCUAAUACCGGAUAAUAUAUUGAACCGCCUGGUUCAAUAGUGAAAGACGGUUUUGCUGUCACUUAUAGAUGGAUCCGCGCCGCAUUAGCUAGUUGGUAAGGUAACGGCUUACCAAGGCAACGAUGCGUAGCCGACCUGAGAGGGUGAUCGGUCACACUGGAACUGAGACACGGUCCAGACUCCUACGGGAGGCAGCAGUAGGGAAUCUUCCGCAAUGGGCGAAAGCUUGACGGAGCAACGCCGCGUGAGUGAUGAAGGUCUUCGGAUCGUAAAACUCUGUUAUUAGGGAAGAACAAAUGUGUAAGUAACUAUGCACGUCUUGACGGUACCUAAUCAGAAAGCCACGGCUAACUACGUG
rnacentral:rRNA from 1 species